rnacentral:rRNA from 1 species
UGGGGAAUAUUGCACAAUGGGGAAAGCCCUGAUGCAGCGACGCCGCGUGAAGGAAGAAGUAUCUCGGUAUGUAAACUUCUAUCAGCAGGGAAGAAAAUGACGGUACCUGACUAAGAAGCCCCGGCUAACUACGUGCCAGCAGCCGCGGUAAUACGUAGGGGGCAAGCGUUAUCCGGAUUUACUGGGUGUAAAGGGAGCGUAGACGGAGCAGCAAGUCUGAUGUGAAAGGGCGGGGGACUCAACCCCCAGGCACUCGCAUUGGGAAAAUCUGUUGAUCUUGAGUACCGGAGAGGUAAGCGGAAUUCCUAGUGUAGCGGGUGAAAAUGCGUAGAUAUUAGGAGGAACACCAGUGGCGAAGGCGGCUUACUGGACGGUAACUGACGUUGAGGCUCGAAAGCGUGGGGAGCAAACAGGAUUAGAUACCC